UACCUUGUUUUAUCUUAAAUUCUUUACAAGAAGCUUUAAUCACUUCUAAAAAUUCACACGAGUAUACACAGAACAAAGGAAGAUUGUUAGAGGCCGUUACCGAGUACUUUUGUAGUCAAUGCUUUACACCUCUGGAGGAUAACAGCAAGCACUUUGAGCCUCUCGACCUCGAUCCCGAUGAAUAUUUUCAAAAGCGUUUUCUUUCUGAUAAUGAGAAAGAAGAACUUUUGAGUAUCCUCACGGCUCACCUUAAACAGCAGAGUAAAGUUUUUGAAGAACUUUUUACUGAUUAUUCGGAAGUUUUGCACAGUG